rnacentral:rRNA from 1 species
AGGGUGCAGGGCGGAUGCCUUGGCACUAGGAGCCGAUGAAGGACGUGAUAAGCUGCGAUAAGCUUCGGGGAGUUGCACGUAAACUUUGAUCCGAAGAUUUCCGAAUGAGGAAACUCACUUAGAGUAAUGUCUAAGUAUCAUUAAGUGAAUACAUAGCUUAAUGAGGGGAACUCAGGGAACUGAAACAUCUAAGUACCUGAAGGAAGAGAAAGAAAUUCGAUUCCGUAAGUAGCGGCGAGCGAACGCGGAUUAGCCCAAACCAAUAAAGUUUUCUUUAUUGGGGUUGCGGACAUAUCAUAACGAAGAGGUAUCGUAAUUGAAGAGGUUUGGAAAGACCCACCACAGAAGGUAAUAGUCCUGUAUGUUAAACGAGAAGACUUCAGAUAUGAUCCAGAGUACCACGGGACACGUGAAACCCUGUGGGAAGCAGGAGGGACCACCCUCCAAGGCUAAAUACUACCUAGUGACCGAUAGCGUAUAGUACCGUGAGGGAAAGGUGAAAAGAACCCCGGGAGGGGAGUGAAAUAGAACCUGAAACCCUGCACUUACAAGCUGUGGAAGCACAUUUCUUGUGUGACCGCGUACUUUUUGUAGAACGGGCCAACGAGUUACGUUAAGUAGCAAGGUUAAGCACUUAAGGUGCGGAGCCGUAGCGAAAGCGAGUUUUAACUGAGCGUUCAGUUACUUGACGUAGACCCGAAACCGGGCGACCUACCCAUGAGCAGGAUGAAGCGAAAGUAAAAUUUCGUGGAGGUCCGAACCCACGAGCGUUGAAAAGCUCGGGGAUGACUUGUGGGUAGCGGUGAAAUUCCAAUCGAGCCCGGAGAUAGCUGGUUCUCCCCGAAAUAGCUUUAGGGCUAGCCUCAAGGUGAGAGAUACGGAGGUAGAGCACUGAAUGUCCUAGGGGGUAUUGCACCUACCGAAGACUAUCAAACUCCGAAUGCCGUCAUCUUAUACUUGGGAGUCAGACUGUGGGUGAUAAGAUUCAUAGUCGAAAGGGCAACAGCCCAGAUCGUCAGCUAAGGUCCCUAAAUGUAAGUUAAGUGGUAAAGGAUGUGGGAUUGCACAGACAACCAGGAUGUUGGCUUAGAAGCAGCCACUCAUUCAAAGAGUGCGUAAUAGCUCACUGGUCGAGUGAUCCUGCGCCGAAGAUUUCCGGGGCUAAAACUUACUACCGAAGCUACGGCAUCAGUAAUGAUGGGUAGGGGAGCUUCCCAUACGGGUUGAAGCAUGACCGUAAGGACAUGUGGACAGUAUGGGAGUGAGAAUGUUGGCAUGAGUAGCGAGAUGUGGGUGAGAAUCCCACAGGCCGUAAACCCAAGGUUUCCAGGGGAAGGUUCGUCCGCCCUGGGUUAGUCGGGACCUAAGCUGAGGCCGAAAGGCGUAGGUGAUGGACAACAGGUUGAUAUUCCUGUACUACCGAUAACCGUUUGAGAGAAGGGAUGACACAGUAGGAUAAGCUAAGCACACUGUUGGUUAUGUGUGCCCAAGCAUUGAGGCAGUCAAAGUAGGCAAAUCCGCUUUGAUAAUGCUGGGAUGUGAUGGGGAGCGAAAUUUAGUAGCGAAGUAGCUGAUUUCACACUGUCAAGAAAAGUCUCUAUCGAGGUUAAAGGUACCCGUACCGCAAACCGACACAGGUGGGUGAGGAGAGUAUCCUAAGGCCAGCGAGAGAACUGUUGUUAAGGAACUCGGCAAAAUGACCCCGUAACUUAGGGAUAAGGGGUGCCACCAUCAGGUGGCCGCAGAGAAUAGGCCCAAGCGACUGUUUACCAAAAACAUAGGUUUCUGCUAAGUCGCAAGACGAUGUAUAGGAGCUGACGCCUGCCCGGUGCUGGAAGGUUAAGGGGAUCUGUUAGAGCAAUCGAAGCAGUGAACUUAAGCCCCAGUAAACGGCGGCCGUAACUAUAACGGUCCUAAGGUAGCGAAAUUCCUUGUCGGGUAAGUUCCGACCCGCACGAAAGGCGUAACGAUUUGGGCACUGUCUCAACAACAGACUCGGUGAAAUUGUAAUUCCGGUGAAGAUGCCGGAUACCUGCGACAGGACGGAAAGACCCCAUGGAGCUUUACUGUAGCUUGACAUUGGGUCUUGGUACUACAUGUACAGGAUAGGUGGGAGGCUUUGAAACCAGGACGCCAGUUUUGGCGGAGCCAUCCUUGGGAUACCACCCUUGUAGUACUGGGACUCUAACCAUAGGCCAUGAAUCUGGUCUUGGGACACUGUCAGGCGGGCAGUUUGACUGGGGCGGUCGCCUCCCAAAAGGUAACGGAGGCGCUCAAAGGUUCUCUCAGUACGGUCGGAAAUCGUACGUAGAGUGU